rfam:Rattus norvegicus chromosome 17, whole genome shotgun sequence.
GGGGAUUUAGCUCAGUGGUAGAGCGCUUGCCUAGCAAGCACAAGGCCCUGGGUUCCGUCCCCAGCUCCA